rnacentral:tRNA from 1 species
GCGCCGGUAGCUCAGGUGGAUAGAGCAUCGGAUUUCUAAUCCGACGGUCGGGGGUUCGAGUCCCUCCCGGCGCA